AUUGAACGCUGGCGGCAGGCCUAACACAUGCAAGUCGAGCGGCAGCGGAAAGUAGCUUGCUACUUUGCCGGCGAGCGGCGGACGGGUGAGUAAUGUCUGGGAAACUGCCUGAUGGAGGGGGAUAACUACUGGAAACGGUAGCUAAUACCGCAUGACCUCGAAAGAGCAAAGUGGGGGACCUUCGGGCCUCACGCCAUCGGAUGUGCCCAGAUGGGAUUAGCUAGUAGGUGAGGUAAUGGCUCACCUAGGCGACGAUCCCUAGCUGGUCUGAGAGGAUGACCAGCCACACUGGAACUGAGACACGGUCCAGACUCCUACGGGAGGCAGCGGUGGGGAAUAUUGCACAAUGGGCGCAAGCCUGAUGCAGCCAUGCCGCGUGUGUGAAGAAGGCCUUCGGGUUGUAAAGCACUUUCAGCGAGGAGGAAGGGUUCAGUGUUAAUAGCACUGUUCAUUGACGUUACUCGCAGAAGAAGCACCGGCUAACUCCGUGCCAGCAGCCGCGGUAAUACGGAGGGUGCAAGCGUUAAUCGGAAUUACUGGGCGUAAAGCGCACGCAGGCGGUUUGUUAAGUCAGAUGUGAAAUCCCCGAGCUUAACUUGGGAACUGCAUUUGAAACUGGCAAGCUAGAGUCUUGUAGAGGGGGGUAGAAUUCCAGGUGUAGCGGUGAAAUGCGUAGAGAUCUGGAGGAAUACCGGUGGCGAAGGCGGCCCCCUGGACAAAGACUGACGCUCAGGUGCGAAAGCGUGGGGAGCAAACAGG
rnacentral:rRNA from 1 species